AACUUUUGGCAACGGAUCACUUGGUUCUGGCAUCGAUGAAGAACGCAGCGAAAUGCGAUAAGUAAUGUGAAUUGCACAAUUCAGUGAAUCAUCGAGUCUUUGAACGCACAUUGCGCCCUCUGGUAUUCCGGAGGGCAUGCCUGUCCGAGCGUCAUUGCUGCCCUCAAGCACGGCUUGUGUGUUGGGCCCCCGUCCCCCCUCCACCGGGGGGACGGGCCCGAAAGGCAGCGGCGGCACCGCGUCCGGUCCUCGAGCGUAUGGGGCUCUGUCACCCGCUCUUGUAGGCCCGGCCGGCGCCAGCCGACCCCCCUCAAUCUAUUUUUCAGGUUGACCUCGGAUCAGGUAGGGAUACCCGCUGAACUUAAGCAUAUCAAUAAGCGGAGGGU
rnacentral:misc_RNA from 1 species